rnacentral:lncRNA from 1 species
UUACAUGGAAGAGACAACUUAGAGCUAUUGUAACUUUGUCACUAAUAAUAUCGUUUUUGGGGAUAUCAUACUGUAUACUAUAUUCAAUAUUACUUUACUCUGACUCUAGGGUGAACUUUGUAUCGUAUUGAUAAACUAUUAUUGACUUUAUUUGAGUAGAUAUCGGAAUGGAGGUCAUUUUGGAGCCUGGACAGGUAUAAGAUGUUCAAAUUGACACCAGCUUCGGAAAGUACAAAACGCGAUCUUUCAUUUUGAUACUGCAAAUUUACUCGUAAGACGCAACUUUACCUUACUGCAAUUUUGUCAACAAUAGCAGGAUUCCCAGAAACAUUUUGGAUGGACUCAAAGUAAUUACGAAUUAGCUGCCAAAAAAUAUAAUGCUACAGUAUUAAUCUUAUUUUUGCGUAUAUCGGUGUGGAGCAUAUUUUGAGUCCUAGAUAUCGUAUAGAGAGAGAGAUAUCACCAUGAUUAUUUAGUAAGCAGUUCCCGAUGAUGGCCCCGCCUCUUUACAACUGAUACCAAAACGAAUACUUGCUGGGGAAAGUACUAAUUGAGAGUUGAUAUCUCACAUACACUAUAUGGAUUUAUUAAA